GACGAACGCUGGCGGCGUGCUUAACACAUGCAAGUCGAACGGAAAGGCCCUGCUUUUGUGGGGUGCUCGAGUGGCGAACGGGUGAGUAACACGUGAGUAACCUGCCCUUGACUUUGGGAUAACUUCAGGAAACUGGGGCUAAUACCGGAUAGGAGCUCCUGCUGCAUGGUGGGGGUGGGAAAGUUUCGGCGGUUGGGGAUGGACUCGCGGCUUACCAGCUUGUUGGUGGGGUAGUGGCUUACCAAGGCUUUGACGGGUAGCCGGCCUGAGAGGGUGACCGGCCACAUUGGGACUGAGAUACGGCCCAGACUCCUACGGGAGGCAGCAGUGGGGAAUAUUGCACAAUGGGCGGAAGCCUGAUGCAGCAACGCCGCGUGCGGGAUGACGGCCUUCGGGUUGUAAACCGCUUUCGCCUGUGACGAAGCGUGAGUGACGGUAAUGGGUAAAGAAGCACCGGCUAACUACGU
rnacentral:rRNA from 1 species